rnacentral:misc_RNA from 1 species
UGACCUACUUAGUCGGGCUUAGUUCGGCGGAGCGGGAACAUUUUACACGUUAUGAAAUAACGCUAUACCAAGGACAAGAUAUAUUUAUGAGUUACCAUCAAAGUCCCAAGUGAAGCAGUAGGACAUUCCACGAUUCCAGCAUCCUUUUAAAUGCAUGCAAAGACAUUCUUGAUGACAAAAGGCUCCAGUCUCCAUACAGCAUGGUGUCUUCUAGGUGAACUGACUUUACCUGGCU